CAGCCAGAAAGGGCUCCUUUUAUUUAUCAUCCGAGAAAUAUUUCAUUUCCUCUCAGAGCACCGAGCGUCCUGCAGCUGCGACGUGUGGAUUUCCAGCCUGAGCUGGAGAGGAUCCAGAUUUCUGUUGUGUUCUCGGAUCAUCUCUGCCUCUUUCACACCAAGGUCAACAUGGUCUCUCCUCCAUCCUCUCCUCUAACCGGGGAUGACCUCAUCCGUUUGAUUGCUGGAGCGUGAAAUCUGCUCUUUGUUCAGAUGUUUUGUUUUAUGAUCUCCAUAUUUGCAGUUUUAGUUGGAGUUUAGGAGUUCCGGCUGGGAUAAACUUGAUGAUGUAAAUUCCUUGCUCCACUCCAGCCUUCAGGGUUUGUGUUUCUUCCCAAAGCAGGUGUUGAUCAGAGCCCUUCACACUGCGGUCUGCGAGCUUAAAGUUCCACCACACAGUAUGCAGCUUGUGUGUGUGUGUGUGUGUGUGUGUGUGUAAGUGAGAGGCACGGCUCCCGCUGCAGACUCUACCUGCGAUUAGACGAGCUGCGGGGGUAACUGUCCCCUUUCCAGCCACUCCGUGACACGCCACAGACGGGUGUCACAUCUCCCCUUCUCCUAAAGGCCCGCCAGUUAUCUCCGGUGACACCAGAUAUGGAUGCAGCAGAGGGAAAAAAGCCCGGCCUCAGACGCGCGUGUGUGUCCUUUAAACUUGUACUGUAUAAAUCACAAGUCAUUACCAGAGGUCAGCGGCUGAGGAGCAACCAUUGGAUGGUUUGAUCGCGAGGGCCAGCCUGGUUGGAGGAGAGAGGAUUUAUCUGGCAGUUGGAUCUCUGGAGAGGCAGCCAUAUUUUAUGUGACUAGAGAUGUAAUAACAGGCCUUUGACAAAUCCCCGACGGCCCGGCUCCUGCAGCCUCGCUGCGCAGAGCCAGUGCAGCUGGAACAGCAGAUUAUGAGCAGCACCAUUAGCAGAAUGAUGUGCACAGACUCAGCAAAGUAUUUUUCUUUCUCUCUCUCUCUCUCUCUCUCUCUUUUUCUCUCUCUCUUCAGACAAACACGGUGGCACCCGAGAAGUCAGAAGCUUUUCAGUCACACAUAACAGGUUCUUCUCAGUUAAUUAGACAAAAAUGUAAAUUUGAUUUUGGAAUUUAAUUUUAAAAAAAUGUAAGAUUAUAUUUGAUAUACAUUGUUAAAGCACAGAGUGGUAUGUUUCAAGUGUUAUUUUUUUGUUCAUUUUUGCCUUACAGCUAAUUCAAACCCCAAAUUUUGUUUCCCAUGAAAUGACAACAUUAAAUAUACAUGUAAGGAUUGUUAAUCAAAUAUAACUGGAUUAUUAAUACAGAACUCUAUUCUCUUAAGCAGCAGUCAUUCUUCCAAAGUGCAAACCUCUGCCACACUUUUUCCUUUCACUUAAUUUUCCACUUACUUGGAUCCAGCACUCUGAACAGCUUCUUUGACCUGAACUUUGACUUGACCGCCUUAUGGAUGGUGUUAGUAACUGUCUGUUGAACUAUAUGGGCCAUAAUAUGGACUCAAUAUUUUUGUAUUUAAAAAAUCCCAUUUCUUUUGGUAUUUUUUAAUGUUAAAAUUUUAUUUAAAAAAACAAAAAAACAGCAAAAAAACAAAAAACAGCUGCAAAAUAAAUACAGACGCUUGAAACAUAUUCUGUACAUAAUAAAUCUGUAUGAUAAAUAAGUCCCAACUUUUGAAUGACAAAAACCACAGAAAUAAUUUGACUUCUCGAGGAUAUUGAAGUAUAUUGACCUCAACCCUCAACUACUAACAUUGUUACAAAUAAAAUGUUAAAGAAUUCUCAAUUUGGCAGUCAAAAUCUGAUUUAAAAAUGAAACAGAUGUGUUUAAGCUUUAAAUAUCGUAAAUAUUUAAAGUUAUUUAGAAUAUAUCAAAGAUCUUGAUGAAUUUUCUUGGUGUAGUGAAUUAAAUUUGCAUUAAUAUAAUUAAACAUAUUUCUAUACAUGGGGAAAACCCAACUAAAAAUCACACAAUUUAAAACAUUUGCACCUUGGUUCAUUUGUUGUCUAACAAAACUUAAUGUACUGAUUUCAUUGUUUACAACACAAGGAAAAAACAUUAUUGUAAUGAAGUGCAUUAAAAUAUAAAGUCAAACACAACCACCCAAAAAAACCUUUGACAACUUGUAAUAAAAAACCACAAAAUCCUAAUUUAAUGUUAGUUAUAUAGAGCUAAAGUCAAACAAAAAUCCUGAAGCAAAUUACAUAAGCACCAAGAGGUGAAAUGUUAAUAAAAAAUAAAGAAAAUAAUGAAAAAAAUCAAUUUUACUUGCAUACUGGAUUAUUCAAAAGGAAUAAUUAAGCUUAUUACAACACAACAUAUGUUAUCAUAUCAUUCAUUCAUUUUAAUUAGCAGGAAACAAGAAAUCUGUUGAAAGGGAGUCCUGGACAAGUUAAAGUGAAACUGUUUCAUGCAUCCUUAUUUGAA